rnacentral:rRNA from 1 species
UCUGCCUACGGGACGCAGCAGUAGGGAAUCUUCCACAAUGGGCGAAAGCCUGAUGGAGCGACGCCGCGUGUGUGAUGAAGGCUUUCGGGUCGUAAAGCACUGUUGUAUGGGAAGAACAGCUAGAAUAGGAAAUGAUUUUAGUUUGACGGUACCAUACCAGAAAGGGACGGCUAAAUACGUGCCAGCAGCCGCGGUAAUACGUAUGUCCCGAGCGUUAUCCGGAUUUAUUGGGCGUAAAGCGAGCGCAGACGGUUUAUAAAGUCUGAUGUUAA